CAAUAGCGUAUAUUAAAGUUGUUGCAGUUAAAAAGCUCGUAGUUGGAUUUCUGGUCGGAAGCUCCUGUCCUCUGAUGAGCGUACAAGUGCGUCCUACCAUCCUUCUGUUAACCUUUAAGGCUUUCGCGGCUUUCUAGGGGCUCAGAUAUUUUACCUUGAGAAAAUUAGAGGGUUUCAGGCAGGCUAGCGCCGGAAUACAUUAGCAUGGAAUAAUGGAAUAGGACUUUUGCCUCUUCUGUUGGUCAUGAGGCUCGAGUAAUGAUUAAUAGGGAUAGUUGGGGGCAUUAGUACUUAACUGUCAGAGGUGAAAUUCUCGGAUUUGUUAAAGACUAACUUAUGCGAAAGCAUUUGCCAAGGAUGUUUUCAUUAA
rnacentral:rRNA from 1 species